rnacentral:misc_RNA from 1 species
UUUCCGUUGGUGAACCAGCGGAGGGAUCAUUACUGAAUUACCAAAGUCCGAGGCCUUUUGCACAUCCGACAGGGUUUCCACGCCCGAGUGCCCUCACACACAUCCAUCUCACCCCUCUGUGCACCAACGCGUGGGUCCCCCUUUGGCUUUGUCGGAGGGGGGCUUACGCUUCAAAACAAACACAGUAUGCAGAGACGAAUGUAUUUUUUGUUUUUGCGAUUAAGCAAUCAAUAUAACUUUAAAGAACGGAUCUCUAGGCUCCUGCAUCGAUGAAAAAGC